UACGUAGGGGGCGAGCGUUGUCCGGAUUUAUUGGGCGUAAAGAGCGUGUAGGCGGUUCGGUAAGUCUGUCGUGAAAUCCUGAGGCUCAACCUCGGGCGUGCGAUGGAUACUGCCGGGCUAGAGGGUGGUAGAGGCGAGUGGAAUUCCCGGUGUAGCGGUGGAAUGCGCAGAUAUCAGGAAGAACACCAACGGCGAAGGCAGCUCGCUGGGACGGUACUGACGCUAAGGCGCGAAAGCGUGGGGAGCGAACAGG
rnacentral:rRNA from 1 species